rnacentral:rRNA from 1 species
UGGACCUCAGCUCAGGCGUGACUACCCGCUGAAUUUAAGCAUAUCAAUAGGCGGAGGAAAAGAAACCAACAGGGAUUCCCCCAGUAACGGCGAGCGAAGCGGGAAUAGCUCGAGCCUUAAAUCUCCGGCGCACAGCCGGCGAAUUGUAGCCGAGAGAGGCACUUGCGCUCGACGGUCGGUCGACCAAAGUUGACCUGGAAAGGCACGUCGAAGA